rnacentral:lncRNA from 1 species
CAAGAUAGCCCUGCACCACAUUAUAAUGGCUUUAAAGUUAGGGUCGUUUGCUGAUAACUUGUGCAUGAGGUCGACAAAUACAAUGGAUGACUUGAGAAAAAGGGCCAUAGAGUAAAUGCAAGUGAAGGACAUGCGAGACUUUCGUAAGCAGAUGAAGCAUGAGGCUUCAACUAGCGAGAAGAAUUAGGGGGAAAAACUGAGCAGUAGGGAGAGUCUCGGCCUAAGAUUUACCUAAAGUACCAUGUUUCCACCAGUAUAUAUCUCUUAACACAACUAGAGCCAAGAUACUCAGAAAGUUUC